rnacentral:rRNA from 1 species
AUUGAACGCUGGCGGCAGGCUUAACACAUGCAAGUCGAACGAGUGGCGGACGGGUGAGUAAUGUCUGUGACACUGCCUGCUGGAGGGGGAUAACUACUGGAAACGGUAGCUAAUACCGCAUACCAUCGGAUGUGCCCAGAUGGGAUUAGCUAGUAGGUGGGGUAACGGCUCACCUAGGCGACGAUCCCUAGCUGGUCUGAGAGGAUGACCAGCCACACUGGAACUGAGACGAGGUCCAGACGCCUACGGGAGGCAGCAGUGGGGAAUAUGGCACAAUGGGCGCAAGCCUGAUGCAGCCAAGCCGCGUGUAUGAAGAAGGCCUUCGGGUUGUAAAGUACGUUCAGCGGGGAGGCGUUACUCGCAGAAGAAGCACCGGCUAACUCCGUGCCAGCAGCCGCGGUAAUAC